GGGGUAUUUGAUUAUAGUACACGGAUUGAAGUUUGGUUAAGCCACAUAGUAUUGUAAGAGAUAAGGGUAAUGAUUUACUCAACAUUAGUGUUUAGUGUUAAGCCAUUCAAGAAAUUGAGACUUAUUGACAUAAAAUUUUAAGUGACUAAUUGAAUGCCAGCAGUCGCGGUUAGAUUCCUACUUAAAUCAAUUCGAUUACGGUUUUGCUAGAUGCAAGAUAAAUUAGUUUAGUUAAGGUACAACAAUCAGUUAAAUGUAAUGUUUAUACACUAGAAAUUUAACACAACUGUAGGGUGUCUCGCUUAGGUAUGUAAGGAAAACCGGGAUUUGGUACCCCGUUAUUCAUAAAGUAAAAUAGGGUUACCGGAUGACUAAUAGUUGGUUCUAAAAAGUUAAAUGACUAGGCGGUCUCUAUUAAAACAAUUAGGGGAAUCUGGGGGUUAAAAGAUGGUCCGCUUAAAUUUGUUCUUUGAUUUAUUUGCGUGUGUAUGGUUGUUUAAUCUAUAUAUGAGAAGUAUAGGUAGAGCUUGAGCAGAGUUUCAGAAAAAUUCAGAUUGACAUGCAGCUAUAUUAAAGCUUUCCUGGGUGGCAGUUGAUAGUUUCACCACGUUUUUGUAGACGGAAGCAAAUAAUAAAUCUUAGGCUUGAAGAUGUACUUAAAAGUAAAAGUAUUCGAAUAUUGUUACUUUGAAAAGUAAAGUAGAGGAGUACUAAUCGCCCGUCGCUCGCGGAGAGAUCUGAGAUAAGUCGUAACAAGGUAACAGUACCGGAAGGUGCUGUUAGAUUGCG
rnacentral:ncRNA from 1 species